UCUCCAAAGGCCCUAUUUUUUUUUUAACGUUUAUUUAUUUAUUUAUUUUGAGAGAGAGCACAAAUGAGCUGGGGAGGGGCAGAGAGAGAGAGAGAAUCCCAAAGAGACUCCAGACUGUCAGCACAGAGCCAACAUGGGGCUUGAACUCACGAACCAUGAGAUCAUGAUCUGAACUCAUGAACUGUGAGAUCAUGACCUGAGCCUAGAUCAAGAGUGCAAUGCUUAACCAAGUGGGCCACCCGGGGAACCCCCAAAGACCCUAUUUUCAAGUAAGGUUGCAUUCACAAGUUCAGGUGCAUAUAAGUGGGUUUUUGGUUUGUUUUGUUUUGUGUGGGUUUUUGUUAUUGUUGUUGUUGUUGUUGUUUCGGAGUAGGGGGAACAAUAGUCAACCCUGUGUCUACAGCUGCAAAGUAAGAAAGGAAUCAGGUUGAUGCUUCAGUCGGGGAGGACUCAAGUUGGAGAUAAUAGCAAGGUUCUUCUCUGGCCCCCGUGUUGUGACCUUCAUCUUGGGAUUCUAGAACUCAAGGCCCUUGGACUAGAAGGACAAGCUCCAGUCUGUGAAACCUGUGUCCACACUUUUGGAACAGCUGGAGUGGCUUACCUAGCCGGCAAUAAGAUCUGGGCCGUUAUUAUGGACGCUGAAGAUUUUUGCUUGAAGGAGAGAAAUCACACCCACUAUCUUCUCAGUCUAUAAUGGAAAAAAAAAAACUGAAGUCAAAUUAUGCUCCUGAAGUCCAACAGUUGGGAUUGGUUGAGUCAGCCCAAGAGUCCAGCCCUGGACUCCCUUCAGUGCUCUGUGUACACGACGUUUGUCUUUAAUACUUAAUUCUAACAAUACUGUUGUCACCUAUGGGUGGCUUGCAGGAAUGGGAGAGACUUUAUUUUUAAGUUUAUUUAUUUAUCUUGAGAGAGAGAGAGCACAUGAGAGCGCAAGUAGGGAAGGGGCAGAGAGAGAAGGAGAGAGAGAGAGAAUCCCAAGAGUGCAGAGCCGCGUAUUGGGCUUGAACUCACAAACGGUGAGAUCGCAACCUCUGCCAAAGCCGAACGUCUAACCGACCCAGCCACCCCGACGCCCCAGGAAUGGGAGAGACUGUACAUCCUCUAUAAUCGUCAUCAGCCUCCUUCACCAGCUCAAAGGCACUUCAAAUUUAAAAAUGUUACCAUGUGGUAUAGACCUGUCCUCAACCUUAUGAAAGUGUGAAUAUAAGCAUCUUUAGAAAACUCUGCAAAUAUCUUCAAACUAUAACACACGACCAAAGCUGAUGCAGUAGGCGUGACACCCGAAUGUUGUGGCUUCAGUACACGACCCCUGCUCACCCCCUCCCUUUCCAACCGGAUUGUCUGGCCAGCCCCUUCCAGCCUGGAAUUCUAGACUCUAAUGGAAUAGUGGUGAUGCCCACUUCUGUCUCCUCCGUGCCUAGGACAUGCCAGGCUCCAUGCUAAGAGCUCUGCCCAGAUUAUCUCACUUUUCCUUCCAAGAGCCCUUUGAAGGGAGAGUUUCUGUCCCUGCUAGUAGAUGGGGAAGCUGAGGCCAAGUCCGGCCCGCAGGCAUGUUCUGGGUUUCCUUAACCUGAAUGUCUCUAGUGGGGCAGGCACUCCCCAGCUGUCACAGGCACUGACAUUUCUGCUAUAACCACAUUCGCUCAAACACGGAAGAGAACGUUUUCUUUUUCUUAGCAGCGUUAUUGAGAUAAAAGGCACACACCCCACGAUUCACUCAUUGAAGGCAUACGGUUCAAUGGUUUUCACCAUAUCCGCAAUGGUUUUUAUUACAUAUUGAUUGUGCAACCAUCAAUCACCACGGUCCAUUUUAGAACAUCAUCGUCACCUCGUAAAGAAACCCUGUACCCUUUUAACCAUCACCUCACGACCUUUCUAUCCCCCUCCACCAGCCCGCAACAGUCAUUAAUCCACUUUCUAUCUCUAUAGGUUUACCUCCUCUGGGCGUUUCGUGUAAGUGGGACCAGGUAACGUGUGGCCUUUGUGUCUGACUCGUUCCAUUUAGCAUCGUGUUAUCCGGGUUCGUCCGCACAGCUGCGUGUCUCAGCACCGCAUCCCUUUUUUAGGACAGAAUAAUAUUCCAUCGUAUGGAUAUACCGCAUUUUGUUCACCCAGUCAUCAGUUUGGGAGACGUUUCCUUGAUCCUACACUUUCGAUGGCUGUUACACGCGCUCUAUCUUAUUUAAUCCUCAUAGAAGCGCUAUGAGGAAAGUGUUAUUAUUACCACUGUUUUACAGAGAAGGAAACUGAAGUGCGGAGAGAUUGCCUAACUUGCUCAAAGUCCCCACGGCUAGUGAAUACUCCUGCUCGGCCAUUGCUCGGCCACGGAGUUGGUCAUUCCCAGUGACACCUGCUUCCUCCUUUAUCAGUCUUCCGAGGCAACACACACAUACCUCAGCCCGCUCAUGUAUCCCUCCAUGGAAUCCAAAUUGGUGUGCCAAGAGCCCCCCCUCUUCCUUGCCGCUUCCCCACUCCUCACCCACACCCCUAUGCUGACCCCCACCCAAACUUGGCUCCUUCUCCAGCCUGCUCAAUUCACUCCCUCACUCAGGAACCUUCCAGAAAACCACUUUUCAAGGCAGGCAAACCCCCUUUAUUCGACAAAUGACGUUUGGUCAACAAACCCCUUCAAGGGGUGUCAUUUGAGCACUGUAAAAUCCUCAUUAUUUGGGACCUCACUCAUUCAAUAUUUGUGAUCCUUUCAAGAGGCUCUGCUGGGCUAGAGUAUGAUUCAGUUAGCAAGCUUUUCUCCGUUGUGAAUUACGAAUUCAUAGCGUAAACAAGAGUGCAGGAGGCAUGUUUCGACAAAGUGUUUUCAAACCUCUUCAAAAAUUGCGGAAACACCCAACAGAGACCCAAUAGCUGAGAUGCAGGCCACACACAAGUCCUACCCAGUCUUUAAACAGGUCCCCUAACCAUCCAACACACAACCUUGCUAAAUGGGAGAGUGGAGAGACUCUCAGUGCUCAACACACCAUGACAGCCUCCCUUUAAAAUCCGUGGCAUAUAAGACUCACUCUGAUUCUCCAAACCAGUCCUGGUCCUCAGCCUCGCUUCUUCCAUGGAAAAUCAGAUUCAGCAGAACAAGAUAGUGAGCCUCAAAGUCUCUCUUGGGCCACACAGGGCUGAGAAGCAUUUCAGAUGGGUCUUGGGAAGGACCCGCAGGAAAGGAGUUUUGGAGAGAACUUCCAAACUUAGAGAUGCCUCCUUCCGUUCACACAACCAUUCAUCUUCCCACAGAGAAAUUGCACUUGGCUGAAAAGUCUGAGGACCGUGUGACCACCCCCCGAGACAAGCACUCUAAGCCUUCAGCCUGCCGAGUGCCAGUUGCCUUGGAUCCUGUGGUCCAGCGAGUGAAGAGAGGUGGGAAAGACCAGAGUGCAGAGUCUCUGCUGACCCUAGUGUUUCCAGAGUGAAACUUUCCACUUCUUUCUAGAAUCUUAGACUCCAGGCUGUCAGAUAUUGUGGGUUCAGGCUGCCCCACCCUAUCCUGGUUUAGAAGCUAACUAUUUUAUUUUUUUUAUUAAAAAAAUUUAAUGAUGUUUAUUGAUUUUUGAGAGAAAUAGAGAGAGAGAGAGUGCAAGCAGGGGAGGGGCUGAGAGAGAGAGAGAGAGAGAGACACACACACAGAGUCCAAAGCCGGCUCCAGGCUCCCAGCUGUCAGCACAGAACCUGAUGCGGGGCUCAAACCCAUGAACCGUGAGAUCAUGACCUGAGCUGAAGUUGGUCACUCAAUUGACUGAGCCACCCAGGCGUCCCAAGAAGUUAACUAUUUUAAAGUAACGGAGAGAUUUCAAUCUUCUGUAGCAUUCCAGGGGAUGCCUUUUAUCCUGCCUACAGAGCAGUGUUAGUGACAUCCUUUGGGGGUGGCCCGGGUAGGGGUGAGAGAGCAAACUCAGCCGAACACAGAGGUUUAUGACCCCCUGAACCUUGGCUUCCACCAGCCCCACUGGUGUGGAUUCAAGGACUAGUGGGCAGAGAAGUGGGAACUGUCUUCCCAACUGGCUUUGUAGCCGACUUCUCUCUGAGCCCGUCUCUCCUGCCACAAAAUGGAACACUUGGCUGGAAGGGACUACCAACAGCUUUCAACUCAUGCCCUAAUUCUGAUCUUUUGGUAGAGGCUGCCCAGAGAACUGUGUCCAGAAGGAUUUUGAGGGUUUAGGGGAGGGCGAGAACUGGGACCAAUUAGCAAUGUCUAAGGAAGGAGAGUCAUGGCACCAAUCCCUUGUCAGAUGUUGCCACUCCUGACGUUGAUAUCCAAAGCCUUCUUUGGCUCCAAUCUCACAUGAUUUUAUACUUUUUCUUGACUGUCACCAUUUUCUUUGCCUUCCUCAAGGACCCAUUUCGAGGGCCGUUCCUACUCCCUGGGAAUUGACAGUGGUCUACAGACAGUUGCUUAUAGGGUAGGGUUGGGCCAUGCAAGUUAGGGACAAGCAAGGCCAGAGGAGGCCAGCUCUCCUCCAGCCCCUAGUGGAGUCUUUCUCUGUCUACACCGAACUGGAACCCACAGGGCACGGAGCACAGCCAAUGUGGAUGACCUGUUCCAAGAUUACCCAAUAUGAGACGAAUGUAGAUUUGUGGCCUCUCUCCGCAUGGUUUAGGCAUAGAGGACUAAGAAAGCCAAGCACCAUCCGAAAAAAAGUGAAAAUAAUUUUGAACAAGGACCGCUAAUAAUGGGGAUAGUCUCCCUGUCUGGGAAGCGGAGGGGUUGUCGCAACGGUGCAAUGAGGUAACACGUGCCAAGUGCUGCGCACAGAGCCUGGCACCAGUAAUCAAUACCUGAUAAAAGCGAUCCAGGGUUCAUGGGAUUAUUCCCUAAGGUCACUCUUCGGUGGCGUUGGGCCCAAGGAUAUUAAAUCUAUUCCGAAACCAGCCCUCCCAUCGGCAGGGCGGGAGCCCACUAUCUCACCGCCGGGGCCCCGCGUUGGCCAGUUCCAAUAACACGAUUAGUCAUUUUUCAUUCCUGAGAUGUCUACCCAUGGGUGGGUGCCUGUGUGCAUGUGUGAGUGCGUAUGUGCCUUUCAGAGCAGGGGAAAAUCCAUAUUCUCUCUCUUCUGACCGAAUUAAUCAAAUAAAUCUUCUGUAAGGAGCUGCUAAAUGAAUCACAGAUGGCUCUGCCCUUUUACAGGUUGCAGAAAGCACCCGUUACACUUCUUUUCAUUUAUCAGAGGAAAAAAGAUGCCCUCGUGUGCCCCUUCCCACUUGCAAUAAUAAUCAGAACCAGUCUAUUUUCCGAGGGUCCGAGACUCAUUUUCCAAAAAUGUGUAUCAAUAGAUGUAACAGCGGGGAGAUUAUUUUGCCAAGUUCCAGCCUCCAGCACAGCAAAGGUGCCCUGGCUGGGGAGAGCGUUUAUAAAACCACAUUUAAUAAAAGAGAGUGUUAUAUUAAGUAUGUUUGCUAGUGUAUUUAAGCAUAUGGUUUCCAUAUCGGCAUAAAGAUGGCAAACACAUGCUUUACCUUCUUUCUAACCUUUCCUGGAGACGUCCUUUCCAGGGGGUGGUGGGACGGGAGGAUUUGGGGGUGGAUGUGCGUGUGUGUUUUGUUUUGCCUUUUACAACUCAGGCGCACAUGGAAAAGCACCAAGGAAUGUUCAGAAAACAUGCGAAGACUCUGACUUUUCUAUUUAUGUAAUUAACCCAAGAAACUUGCUUUGCGCACUUCCUUCAGUGGCCCCAACGUUCUCCCAGCGCCCCGUUGCCUCCUCCAAGGCGCUGGGGGCUGGCUGACUUUAAAGUGUGAAUCAAUUUCAGCUGCAAAGAACUUGAGCUCCUGGGUUUAAACGUGGUAAAGCAAGAGCCCCAGGGAUGGCUGCCCGGCUUCGUGUCCGUGCGUCCCCGUUCGCCGGUGAGCCGCCGGACUCCGCGAUUCGGUCUGCCCAAAGAUCCCCUUUGGGUACUUGGGUUGGGUAUUGGGGAGUCUAUCUUUUUCCUUUACAUCAGAGGCAAUGGGCUGUGGCCUGUAGGCCUGGGGUCCCCAGAAAGGCAGCUGGGAAAAAGGCCUCCGGGGACCACGACCCUAAAAUAGACUAAACGAUCCCCUGAUUUGGAGACAACCCCGGAAGCCAAAAUGCCAAGCCAGGAAGGAGAUUGGGUGGGGGCAUCUGCAAGGGGGCCGCCCUGCCCACCCCCACCCGCCCAAACAGAUUUGCCUGAGCGAGUUAUAAAUCUACUGGUACCAUUUCUUUUUCGUCACUUGCCUAAUCCUGUGCCCUUCGUUUCAUGUGCUGUAAUUAUUAACAUCUGCUUUCUGAGCCUGGGCCGCGUGGAGUUUGCAAAGGCAGUUUUCAGUCUAGAACAAUGGUGACAGCUGUUUCAUUUAGCCUAGGGCCAGCACUUCCUGUUCAGUCUACAUCUGCCCUCCUGUGUCCAAUUUCUGUUUCGGAGUUUUGUGUUUUGUUUUCUGGGUUUCCCGCCCCCCCCCCCUUCAUCUGACCUUACUAUACGUUUAAGAAGAAUUUCUAACUUAGCACUCCAGCUAGUAUUUCUAGCACAUAUGCUUAUUAGAUUGGCGAGCCAGAGAAAGAUGGGAGAAAUUCAGGGUUGUCUCCGGCAGCUAGCACGGUGGAGGGCAGAAGCAGAAAGGAGGGCUGACCAGGGGCCCAGGGAACCAGGCUCUAAGGAAAUUCCUGGGCCUUAAGGUUGUAGAAUAGGUUGACCUCUCGGGAACUCAAGACCCGGGAAAAAAAAUGGGGUUAGCUUAUCUGUCCCCUGGCCUGGUGUCAUCUCCACAGCUUAUGAGGUAAGGGGUCACCCAAAUAUCCUCCUGAGGGAACUGUGUUUCUGGGUGGCCACCAACACUCGCAGGCCCUUCCCCUUUGGGAACCAUGCAAACUCAUCAGGUGGGCCAAGAUUUAGAGGCCCCGGAUUCACUUUUUCCCCCUAAGUCACCAGCAGCGCAAUAAAAACCCCUUCUCUUUUGCACAGGGAGGUCCGUGGGGUGCGGUAAAGGAUGUGGUGUGGAUAAGAGAGUGAAGGAAUCCACUCGGACGGUCUGCCUGGACCCUUUUUAGCAUAUAUGACUCCGUGUGACUAAAGAUUGUGGAGCGUGUGCCCCACCCCUGGCCUUCCGUCUACCCCGCUUCUCCUAAUUUCGGGUGAUGCAAGCGUGGGGUCCCCAGCUCGGCUGGCAUGCAGAUGCCAGGUUAUUAUUUGAGACCCCACCCCAAGCACUGGGCUAGAGACAGACGCCAAGAUCUGCGAAAGCUGCCCUCAGGCCCUGCUGGAUACUGAUCGCCAAAUCGCGCAGAAACCAGUCUGUGCGUGGAUAAUAGUUUGCAGCGAUGGGUCCGUGUCCUGUGGGGGCACAGGGCAGGGCCCGGGGGCCAGGGCACCGGUGUCACCCCUCCGACCAGGACUUCCUGAGUCCGCCUGGGCUUCUGCCCAUCUCCGGGCAUCAGGACUGGCAAAGCCCCUGGAGAUCCACUGCCCACGGCCCCGUCUUUAUUUUUCUCGAGAGAUGGAGAAACUGAGCGCCAGAGAGGGGGAGCGCCUCCUACAGUUGCAGCUUGGUGGAGCUUGAGUGUAUCAAUAGAGGAACAAAUGAAGGUGACUCUGUGUUGCUUCUGGAAGCUUCUGGAAGCUUCGUCAACAUUUUAUCUAUCUAUCUAUCUAUCUAUCCAUCUAUUUAUGAGAGAGAAAGAGAGAGCAGGCAAGGGGCAAAGGUAGAGGGAGACAGAGAAUCCCAAGCAGGCUCCACACUGCCAGUGCCGAGCCCGACGUGGGGCUCGAACCCACAAACCAUGAGACCGUGACCUGAGCCCAAAUCUAGAGCCAGACUCAACCGACUGAGCCACCCAGGCGCCCCCUUUUUUUUCCACCAUUUCUAGAUGAAGUGUCUCUUUCAAUCCCAGACCCUCUCUGCCCUUCUAAGCGGCUCACUUGAAAAUAGCUGGGGCCCGACUGCCCCCUGGGAGCAGUGAGCGAGGUCGAGAGCUAGAGAGACCCCAGCUGUGGCUCUCAGUGCCGUAGGCACGACGGCACCGCUGCUUCUGGCUGCCAACAGAGAGCCAGCCAACUCCAGCAAGUCUGGAAGUUCGUGCUGACUUGACACCCGGGGUCAGGGAGGUUCCUGGCACGCCGUCGAGGGCCCCCAUGUCUUUGCAGGGAUGUCUAAGCAGUGAUACACGGCCAAUGAAUUUAGCAGCAGACCAUCUCCCCAGGUAGGACCUUUGGGUCUUCACCCGUCCAGCGAUGAAAUGACAGAACCUUUUCACGCUCUUCUCCCAAAUUCGGAAAUGUGCUACGAUGACCAUGCUUUCCUUUGUAAUGGGGUGGGGGGAGGGAGAGCUUUUCAGUGGGUAAUUUUUUCAUGGAAAAAGGACUGCAUGCUCGAAGAGAAGGAAAGAGGCAGUACCACUCCGAUGACGUUGAAUCUCACGAGGGACGGGAUCAUGAAAAGUCAACCCCUCUCGUACCCCUGCCCCUGGCUCCCGCCUGAAUCCCCGCCUACGAGUAAUUUCCGUAUCAUUCCAACUACAGGCCGCGCUUGUCUGUUCCACAGCGCGGCUGUGGAAUUCGCGCUUUGCUUUUCUCACUUAACAAAAUAUCUCAGAGAUCGUUCUGAUCUCUAGCAGCAUGGAUUGACGCGAAGGCUGUGUUUUGAAUCCAUAAAAUUAGUUAACUGAGAAAAUCAUGAAGGCCCUCUUAUCCUGAGCACCAGCCAAAGUGUUGGGGAGUCAGCUCUCUCCCCAGUAAAAUCUACUGAUAGUAGCCUGCCAUGAUGCUACCUCUUACCUGUAUUGCCUCGUUCAGUCCUCAGCAGACCCAGGGAGGGAGUUAUUCUCCCAUUUGUAGAUGAGGACACCGCUGCGAACGGAGCUUGGGAACGUGCUGGAGUCACACUGUAAGCGGCAGGGUCAGAAUCUGAACCCAGGCAGUCGGAAGGCAGAGCUCUGGCCCUCAACCACUGCCUUCCAGAAGAAGACAAGGAACUGUCUGGGAGCUGGAGUUGUUAUGAACACUCCUGGCAAUGACACCGAGGACAAAGUGGACACGAAGAUUUGCAGAGCGUGCGGAAGUCCCGUGUGUGACCCUGGAGGAAAUGAAUCUGGGGAGGGAAGGUUUUCAAAGGCACCAGUGACCUGCUCAGAGCAGGAAAGACCUGGGGGGUUAUCACCUCCACUGCUGAGCCCAAAGGCAGACCUUCCAGGCCUGUCAGGGUCCCAGCAGAUUAUCCUCAGGCUCCAUGAAGUCGGUCUGUCCCAGACAAGGCAGAGACACACAGGCUCUUAAAAUAUAGAGCCGUGUGCUCACAAUGUUUAUCAAGGCCGAGAUCAGCACCAUCCAGGGCAGUAGCCACUUGCACGUGGGGCUAUUAAGCACUUGAAAUGUGGCUAGUCCAAACUACCAUGAGGUGUAAGUACAAAAUCCACACCAGAGUGUGAAAACUUGGAGAGAAAAUCAAACACGAAGUAUCUUGUUAACAAUUGUAUAUUGAUUAGAUAUUUAAAUGAUAAUAUGUUGAAUAUACUGGGUCAAAUGAAACCAAAUAGAAAAAUGAAAAAUGGAGCAUAAAUGUACUUUGAUUCACCUGAUCCCUUGACCUUUUUUAUUUAUUUUUGAGAGAGAGAGAC